UCGACUCUAUUUAAGGUGGAG
rnacentral:piRNA from 1 species